GUCUUUUGAGGUAUAUUUUAAACAGUUACAAUCCCCGCAACUGAAAUUGCAUUCAAAGUUUAUUCUUGUCUUAUUAAGUGGUAUUAUUGUGCUUUUAGUUUUUAUAUGCUCAUUUUUUUCCCCAAGUACUAGUGUAGGAUUUCCUUCCUACCUUUAUGACUUCUUGAAAGGACUGCAGGCUGAUUCAGAUAGUACUACGUACCUGAGAGCAUUCCCAGUUGUGCUGUUGUUGAUGAUAGGAUCAGUCCUUUAGUUUUCGGUUCUGCUUUGGUCUGCACGUACCCAGAUUAAAGGCAGAGUUUUGUCUGGUAAGAUCAUGUUUUGCAUUGUAAAUGAGCACACUGCUGAUGAUUUAAGUGUUAAUAGGAUGAUGAAAGUGUCUGCUAAUCUGAGUAAAAAUUCACUUGAGCAGUGGAAGGGACUUGAGCCAGGCUCAAGUCCUGUGAGCAUGUCUUUUAAUGGUAGAGUUCAGUUGAAGUGUGGACUGGUACAGCAGAUACUUGUAUCAUUAUAGUCAAAACCUUAACAGCUCUAGUGAUGAUAAUGAGGCUCAAAAUGCUGAGAUUUCAGUGAGUUUUCAAAUUCCUCACAUUUUCAAAGAAAAGAGCAGAGUCCCUGUGCUGAAGAGCUCUUUGCGUCAUCGCUGACCCGCUCCCACGGGACCAUUGCUGCCUCUGCCGGAGCUGUGGGGAUCUGGGAAUUGAAUGUGCGAGGCAAUGAGUAGGAACUGCUUCACCUCGGUGCAACUGUCAUAGAACAUGAGUUUGUGUCAAUGCUGUCAAUCUGCUUUAUUAGCUCAGCUGCCAUUUCUAACACUUCCACCUCUGAUUUAUGUUGGUGAAGUGCAACAGCUGCAGUAGCUGCUCCCUAGAGCAGUUACUGUUGUACCUCUGGUAGUCUCCAGCCUUUCCAUCCAGGGCUAUGUCCUCCCUCCCUGUUAGGGUUUCUCACACCCACAGUCUGAAUCUUGCUUGUGUUUCACACUGCACUGGCAGCACGUAAAAGUGACCCAAGGAAAACUGCAGAUGUGAGGGUACAGCAGCUGUUGUGGAAGGGCUCUGCUUUCCUCACCUUGGCCUCCCUGGCGUGGGGGAGGCUGUUGGGGUACACUUGUGAUAGCGGUCAGCCCUGAAUGGAACUGAGCUUUCACAUUCUUGUUUCGAGUAGGCCUGGCUGUCCUGGAGGUGCAGGAGAGCCAUGGUGUGUGAACCGUGUUUGUGUAGGGUGUAUGAGGUGAAAAAAUGAAGAAAAAGGUCCUUGCCAUUCUGUAGACUAAACAAUGUUUCUGGUAGCAGUAUGUUAACUGGGAAUUGCCAGCAAACAAAGCUUUAUCAACAGCUAGCCGUUAGCGGCAAUUUACACCGGAGGGACAAAUAACGCUAACAAUAACAAUUCGUCCUUGUGUUACUGCAGCGUAUGUAAUCCGAGGAGAUGGUUUAGUAGCAUGCACAGAGUUGGUUUUUCUGGUUAGGAGCCUCAUCUCUGUCAGGAAUUGUUAGUAUGGCCAAAGUGACACAGUUUCUGCAGUGUAGAUUAGCCCUCUGCUUUCUGGCUUUGCCUAAGUCCCACAUUAGCCAUGGGCCCUGCCCACUUUUAAAUGGAAAAAUUCAAACUGCAUUCUUGUCUGGAGUGGCAUUUUUAGUGGAGCAUGACUAUAAAAUUACAGCAAUGUAUGUUGUUGCGUGUUUUGUUUUCCUUGGAGAAAGGGAUUCAAACUGCAGCUGUUACGAGUGCGUUUUUAAAGCCCAUGCAAGUGAGGUAUUCUUUAGAGGAGGAAGGUGGAAGUGAAAUAUUAGUUGAUACUAUGUUUGCAUUGCUGAGUAAUAUCUAAAUGGUCACUUUGAGCUCAUGAGAUACUUAAUAAACAGUUCUAACUAAAUAGAGAGUUUGUCAGCAUUGAAUCAGACUUAGGAAAGUGUUAAGUAUUUGGGGGGCAAUAGAAUUGGUUACCAUCAUUUAAUAGUCAUAUUUCACCAGUUUGGCAAAUGUGUUUCUUGCAUGGAUGGAGCUUGAAGACUGACACAAACAGGCAAAUGAAUGAGCACUAAUGGAGAAACAGUGAUACCAGCCAUAGCUGCAGUGCUUUCAGCAGCUAAAAUAGAGUGAAGGAGAAGACAUGCUUGUCCUUGUUUCCAGUUUGUUUAAUAAAGUUUGGUUAAAGAACCAGGAAUGGGGUGGCUGUCAUGCUGAGUGUGCGAGGAGAGGAGACUUUUUGUCCUGUUCCCCAGUGUGACUGGGUCUGCCCGACUCCUGCUGGGUGCACUGAGGAGCACCCUGGACUGCUGGAAUUGCUUGGUUUUCUGAGAUCCAGCCACCUGUGUGGUGCAGAGAACACGGGUGGUGUCCAGAAGUAUGUCAUUGACAGGCACAUAGGGGAUCAGGAGAAACGGGCUACCUCAUACACUGUUUAGCUGUGGCAAAAUCAUUCUCUAAGGCUGACAGAUCUUUGCUUUCCUGCUGACUGUAAAGAAUUACAGUCCCUUAGAAAUCCUUUUAUCAGCUGCAGCUAUAGACAUUUCCAGACACUUUCCUCCUUCUGGAUACCUAAGACAGACAGUUACGCUUUAUUCCCCCCAGACAACAAAUGCUUUGGGCUGUGGUUUUGUUUUUUAACCCCCAUGUGUAUCACUUACUGUAUGUGGCUAGCUCAGAUUCUGCAUUUCUUUUUGGUCGUUGCCUCACUAGUAUCAUAAACCAGUCUGUACACACAGCAGGGGGGUUGGAACUAGAUGUUCUCAAGGUCCUUUCAAACACUAAUCAUUAUAUGAUUCUAUGAUAAUGAGACUCUUGGCAGAUGUUAAACGCCAUCCCGUUAAGGAAGGUGAGUACAUCACAGAUCGGUAGUUUCCACCCUUGUAGACUUUCCUUGGGACAGAAUCUUGAUGGUCCAGGGAGAGUGACUGAGAGAAGUAAGCUGACAAACUCAAUGCAGUUUCUAAAUUGGUCUGCACAUGAAGAGCCCAUAAACUGGGGAAGGUUCACUGCAACUGUUACCAGGACCAAGGACAUCCAUCUGUGUCUGGUCUUAAUGUCUGGUGCACUCCUGUAUCAGUAAGUAAACUCAUGUAGAUGGGCACACACAGUCUGGCUUUUCCCCUUCUUUUGAAACUGAGCUGAAGCUUGUUAAGUUCCUAGGACUGAGGUAGGACAGGGAAGGACAGACCCUUACAUGUUUUAGUGUUCCUGUGUUUUGUUUCAGGCCAGCACUUGCAGUUGGUGUGUGCUGGCUGAAUUGAACACGUGUUGUUUGCAGAGAGCUCUAGGGAGGUGUCAUGUAUAUGCCGUUGCUCAUCCAGCCAGCAGAACUGAUGUGCUGAGCAGGGACAGGCUCUGCAGCCAGGAGAGCUGUUGCCCCACAAAGUGGGAGUGGAAGUCAGCAGUCCCAGCUCUGAGCAUUCUGCUGUUUUACAAGUACCCAGUCUCAUGAGCACGUCCUAACAGAUCUACCAGAAAUCAUCUCUAAGCUGUCCUUUACCUCAUCUAAUGGAAAAAACCACAGGUAGAAGCAGUCUGCACAGUUGGGAUCCUCAUAAAGGAUGGUCUGACGGAGUCCUAUGCAAACAGAAUUUUACCAGUCAGUCCUCAUGUUGUUAAAAAGGUUAAAAUUUUGGAGUUCUGGAUAUACGAGGGUUCCUGUUUUUCCUUCUAUGUUCUGUAUUUAUUGCUGUGGCAUUUUCUGUUUCUUUCCCCAGGUGACCCUUAUUGCUUAGAACAGGCACAUUUUGAAGACUUGAACUGUGCAAACUGUGUAGUGACAGAGAUGGUUCUUUUCAGUUACACAGUGAAGGCACAUGGUGGACGAGGCAAAUGACAGAUGUGUGUGUUCAGCAGCUAAGGCUGUGUUGCUCUGGAACUGGAGUCUCAUCUUGCCUCUGCCAUAAAACCUACUCCCGGUCAAGCCACAAUACACUUGCACAGGGUCCCUAUGGGAUCUCCAGUGAGAACACUCACUUUGUAAGACUGUACAGUUGUUGCUGAAACAAACCCCUCAUACUUUGAUGCAGGUGCCCAUGGAUACAUUGUGAAAAAGAUGGAUAGAGAGUUCCAAUGCACAGUUAAGGUUUAACUGAAGCUGCAGAACUCUUAAUAGCCACUGGACACUGUAAAUGGCACUGGGGAUUUGAUGGGAGGAAGAGAGCAUGGUUUUAUGGCUACAGUUUAUGUGCCAAUGUAAACAGACCUAAGGCUUCAAAAGUAACCGUGUUUCUCUGGUUUUGAGGUUUUUGGCUGGUAACUCUUAAAUACAGUCCCAAGACAGAACAUUUGAGGUAAUCACACCGCCACUUCAUGCUUUUGAAGAGCAUCCAGGAGCCCUCAAAUGACUUUGUUAAAACCACUUUUCCUGAUGGAUGCAGUUGGCCUGUAAAUUUACAUUUUAGCAUUUUAACUGAAAUACUGAAACAUUAAGUGUGAGAUGGAUAGGAAGUUGAUGCUCUUACGUGUUACACUCAAAUGGGGGGCGGAACCCCCCUAUUUGUCUAAAGGGGUGAAAAAUGUUUGCUAGGAAAGUUACAAUUAAAAUGUAACCUAAUUGUUGCUGGAAUUAGGUGAUGCUUGGUAAGGUUUUCUGCUGCAUAAAGGAUGUAAUGUACGUUUCUACAAUAGCCCUGGGUCAGUCAGAUCAUCACUGAGGAGCUGUUCUACACCAUACUCCAAGACCCUGUCACCAGGCUGUUCUGCUGACCAGUUCACUUCUCUGUUCCUGGGAUUGCCCUGACCCAGGUGUAGGACCUUGCACUUGGCUUGGUUGAACUUCAUGAGGUUUGCACUGGCCCACUUCCCAACCCUGUCCAGGGCCCUCUGGAUGCCAUCCCCUCCAAGCAAGUCAACUGCACCACAGAGCUGGGCGUUGCCGACAGACUUGCUGAGAGUGCGCUCAAUCGCACCAUAUACACUUCACUCCUUGCAGCUUGUACUGGUAAGAAUCAGGAAAUGUGAUCAGGUAGACAGCCUAAUGAUAGAGAAACUUUGUGAAUUUUAGUUUAUCAUUUUGCUACAGCUUCGUGUGACCUCAGAUGAAAGUUCAGCCAAGUAUGGGACUACGUUUAUUUAGAAGAUAUACAAGUAUGUAAAUACCUUGCUGUCAUGGGUAGAAUAUAACAUUAUAUACAACUGCCAGGUAUAUUAAAAUCAUGCCACAUAAGGAGAAAAAGCUUGGGGCAGUCAUGGCUACUGGAGAAGGAGCUGGGGAAAACUUAGUCAGAAAUGCAUGAAGUAGCAAAGUACUGAGCAUCUUUUUAACUGUCCUAGGACAAGGCAAUAGAGUCCUUCACCAGAUCAGUAGUCAGCACAGAAGGGAUCCAUACUUCUGUCCUUGCUUAUUAAGAAGACAAAGCUAAAUCUCUCCCUAUGCCAGCCCUGCAUGCAUCUGGGCCUACUCACAGGCUCAGACUUGUCUAACAGCGCUAGUACAGCAGCUGGGAAUAACAUUCACAAACUGAUUUAUUAUGGUUUUUUUUAUUUGAGUAGAAGAUGUAUGUGUCUAUCAAGAGCCAUGAUUCCACUGUUUUCCAGAAGCAUACCAUAGACAGUAAUUUUCUGGGCCAUAUGAAUUUGUCAGUUUUCUUCUUCCCGAGUUUCUUCUGUCAUCAGAAAACUACCCUUGCAAGUUCAAACAGAACCUGUGGAAUAGCAAACACAUGAAUAUGAGUUUUUAUUUAAUAAUUCUUAAAACAGCUUAUACUGGAAACAAGAUAAUCUGAAAAACUACAGCUGCAAUUCAAAAAUGCCUUGCAAAGAGCUGAAGACCAAUCCUAUUGUACAGUAUAGUGCAUUACCUCAAUAAAAUAAUCUUCAUUCUCAAAGUACGCAAAUUGCACUUGUUAUUAUGUAUUCAGUGUGAUAGUGGAAAGAGCCCCACCAACCUCUAUGGUGAUGAGUAUCACUAUCAUCCACUCGAGGCGCAGAGCGUGCUUUUCAUUCAGGUGAUUUCGCAUCAGGUCUGUCAGCUCCAUGCAGUGCUGAAGCUUCUCAUUCAUUACCUGCAUCAAGAGAUUGCAAAUACAUGGCAAAUCUGGAUUCUGUAACUGCAAUGAGAUCACUAAAUAGAGGAACACAGUCCACAGAAGGGCUCACUGAACAGAACUAAAAGGAUGUUGACACUCUUCUGUGAAAUAAUAGAAAGCCCUGAAGGCAACGUGCACAAGCAACAGAGGUUUCAAUAUGAACAAGUCUGUUGUUUCUAUAGGUUCACAAAAAUAACAGGAAUUUAGAUAUGCAUCUGCAGGAAUUAAACUGCUUCUAGAUGAUGCCUGCUCAGAGAACAGGCAUAAGCAAAAGAAGAUGUAGCUACUGGAAUGCCUCAAAAGUAACUAAAUAUUUAAAACUGCUGAACCAGCAGAAGUGGUAGUUUUUGUGUUGCUUAUUCUGGUUCAGCAGUAAGCAUCUUUUCACCCGUCAAACUGACCUGGAUGAUCAUGUCUGUAAAAAGAAAUGUCACAUCUCAAGUUUUUUUACUUGUUUUGUUGCAUACAUUUCAGAAGAGGAAUUAAAUCUCAUAACUAUAUAAAGCCUAAUUUAGUGGCUCAGGAAAUAGGCAAUCAAUUCACAUGAGGCAGUACUGUUAAGUGGGUAAGAGAUAUGAGUGGUUUAUGAACACAUGGAAAAAGGGACAGCUCACAGGAUCCUAUUUUUCUUUAUCCAGUUUCUGCAAUUAAAACAGACAUUCAGGAGCAGUAUGUAACCCUGCUGAGCUGGAGACAGCUGAUCUGAGCAUGGAAAAUUCUUAGUAAGAACACCUACCUUAACUCUGCGAUUAAUGUUGAGGAACUGGCACGUCUUGUCAUAAAGUUCUUCAAGUUUUUCUCUGUCCCAGUAGAAGUCGGGUGUUAUUAGUAGGUCUGAACUCAGAUUUAUACGGUGCCUAAAAAAAAAAUGGAUACUACAGUAGUUCAAACUUCCCUUUGGUAAGUAGAGGAGCAAAUAUUUACACAACAGUUAAAAGAAACAGGAAAAAUUUCCUGUAAUUUUAAGUAAAUUGUGAAAAGAAUCUCCUUUCAUAAUAAAAAAUACAAUUGU